GUCGAGCGAGCGGAACUAACAGAUUUACUUCGGUAAUGACGUUAGGAAAGCGAGCGGCGGAUGGGUGAGUAACACGUGGGGAACCUGCCCCAUAGUCUGGGAUACCACUUGGAAACAGGUGCUAAUACCGGAUAAGAAAGCAGAUCGCAUGAUCAGCUUUUAAAAGGCGGCGUAAGCUGUCGCUAUGGGAUGGCCCCGCGGUGCAUUAGCUAGUUGGUAAGGUAAAGGCUUACCAAGGCGAUGAUGCAUAGCCGAGUUGAGAGACUGAUCGGCCACAUUGGGACUGAGACACGGCCCAAACUCCUACGGGAGGCAGCAGUAGGGAAUCUUCCACAAUGGACGCAAGUCUGAUGGAGCAACGCCGCGUGAGUGAAGAAGGUUUUCGGAUCGUAAAGCUCUGUUGUUGGUGAAGAAGGAUAGAGGUAGUAACUGGCCUUUAUUUGACGGUAAUCAACCAGAAAGUCACGGCUAACUACGUGCCAGCAGCCGCGGUAAUACGUAGGUGGCAAGCGUUGUCCGGAUUUAUUGGGCGUAAAGCGAGCGCAGGCGGAAGAAUAAGUCUGAUGUGAAAGCCCUCGGCUUAACCGAGAAACUGCAUCGGAAACUGUUUUUCUUGAGUGCAGAAGAGGAGAGUGGAACUCCAUGUGUAGCGGUGGAAUGCGUAGAUAUAUGGAAGAACACCAGUGGCGAAGGCGGCUCUCUGGUCUGCAACUGACGCUGAGGCUCGAAAGCAUGGGUAGUGAACAGGAUUAGAUACCCUGGUAGUCCAUGCCGUAAACGAUGAGUGCUAAGUGUUGGGAGGUUUCCGCCUCUCAGUGCUGCAGCUA
rnacentral:rRNA from 1 species